CCUACGGGAGGCUGCAGUGAGGAAUAUUGGUCAAUGGGCGGAAGCCUGAACCAGCCAAGUAGCGUGCGGGAUGACGGCCCUACGGGUUGUAAACUGCUUUUAUACGGGAAUAACGCGCCUUACGUGUAGGGCUUUGUAUGUACCGUAUGAAUAAGGACCGGCUAAUUCCGUGCCAGCAGCCGCGGUAAUACGGAAGGUCCGGGCGUUAUCCGGAUUUAUUGGGGUUAAAGGGUGCGUAGGCCGCAUGUCAAGCGUGCUGUGAAAUGUCCGGGCUCAACCCGGGCCGUGCAGCGCGAACUGGCGGGCUUGAGUCCGCGGAAAGCAGGCGGAAUGCGCGGUGUAGCGGUGAAAUGCUUAGAUAUGACGAAGAACCCCGAUUGCGAAGGCAGCGUGCUGGAGCGGAACUGACGCUGAUGCUCGAAAGCGCGGGUAUCGAACAGGAUUAGAUACCCUAGUAGUC
rnacentral:rRNA from 1 species